GCAAAAGCAAGUCUCUGAUUGUAAACAAAUGCUCUACUUGUCCGCCGUCCCUCCCUCUUCUGCAGCGUGAGAUGAGAGAGAGAAUUCCAACAAACUAGAGAGAGGAAAUUCCCGAGAAAAGCGAAAGAAAAGAAAAUAGAAAAUAUCAAUAUCAAUAGAUCAAAGCAAACAACAAAUGAACAACUGUGAGCUGUGCAAGUCGAGGGCGACAACAUACUGCGAAUCUGAUCAGGCGAGCCUUUGCUGGGGGUGCGACGCCAAGGUCCAUGCAGCCAACUUUCUAGUUGCUAGACACUCUAGAACCCUUCUCUGUCAUAUAUGCAACUCUCUAACUCCUUGGAAAGCCUCCGGUUCGAAUCUCGGUCAUACCGUUUCUGUCUGCGAGACUUGCCUCAACCGGCAACAACAAUACGAAGGACAGAGCCAAGAAGAAACAACUGACGAAGACGACGAUGACGAAGAGGACGAUGAGGUGGAGGGAGAAAAUCAGGUGGUGCCGUGGUCCUCCAUCGCAUCUACGCCGCCGCCGGCUUCCAGUUCUUCAAGUAGCGGUGAGAUUUCCGCUUGUUCGUUUAAACGGCGGCGUGAAGAGGUCUCAGAUCUUCAAUCUCAAGAUGAACAGAAUGGUUCAUUGUCUCAACGGGAGUACUGUACGACUUCGAGGAGGGAGGCUGCUGGUAAUGAAUCAACAAAAGCGGAUGGUUCCGAAUCUGUGGCGAUAAUCGCUGAGCCGCCGAAUCAGCGAAAUAAAGCGGAAAUCAGCGAGGUCGAUUGGUGGGGAUCAUGUAGUCGUGGUAAUUGAGUUAGUUUGAGAUAUUUUUCAAGUUGACUUGUUCUAACAAUACCCUCUAGUUGAUGAGCAGGGCCUGCUUAGAUUUAAUUUGUGUAUUAACGGGAGAUCUAAUUUUGAUUUCUGUUUUCAAAAUUAGAUUGUAUGGAAUGGAAUAUGAUUCCAAUGGGUUUUCUUGGACUGGAUUAAUUGAAUGUUUACAGGAGAAAAUAAUUUGGCCGUAGUGAUGGUGCUUUGGAUACCAACCACCCAGCCAAUUGAUUGAUUGGUUGGUGAGAAUGGAUUUCUGAAAAUGGCAAGGCCAAAUUUAAGGUACGUAUAGGUAGAUUUUAAUGUUUACAUAGUAAAAUAUCUAGGCGGUUAUGACCUCCACCACCUAGAGCUUAAUUUAAAUAAAAAUAAGGUAAUGGCUGUCCAUCAAAUCAAGCAGUUCCGAACUUUAUGUCUAUAAAUCAUAUUAUUUAUAAUUGUCAAAUAUACAAUGAAAAAAAAAACAUGGCAAUCAAUUGUGGUUGAGGAAAUUCAUCACUCUUUUUAAAAUAUCAGAAAGGAUUUUUUUUGAAAAUAAUAAUAAAGAAUGAAUGAUCGUAUGGAGGAGAAUUGACAAGUAUUCAAGUGGGAAAUGGGUUUUUGUGGUGGAGAUUUGUUCUGUAGUUUGAGGAGAAAGUUUGUGUGGUGGUAGUUGGACGCUUCUCAGCAUCCAUGGAGAUGGUGAUAUUAUAAGAGUGUUAUUGAUCUUGGCAUUCGGCUGACCAUUGCUUACUUCCCAUUUGUAUUGUGAAAAUGACUUAAAAGGAUUUAUUUUCUUUGAUUUUGUUUUUUCCUUCUUUUCAAUGAAAUUGCAUUUACAUUUCCACCAA